AAGUGGCCGGAAAGCCAGUCUCCUAACUUGAAGGCCGCCACUGCUGCGUCCUCUGGGCGCCCGGAGCCCGAGCCCCAGAGCUUACCUAUGCAAGCCGCAGCGAAAUCCCAACUCAACGAAAUCACUUGACCUUCGAGAAUUCUUAAAUCCUUCCCUGACUCCACCGGACUUGCCAAAGAAGUUUCCAUCAAAAGUAGAACCCUCUUCUCACCUACCCCUUCAACCAGUCCAAGGAAGUCAAACCCGUAUAUUUAAAUAUGUUUUUGAAACUUCUGCCAAGCACAUCAUCUCUUUUGCUGUCAAUGUUGCAAGAAAGCUGUUUUGAAUUCCCUGCAGAACCACAUGCAAACCUGUAAGGAAUGUAACAAGCAGGAGAUGCCUGAGAGAUUUUGACCCAUCGCUGCAAACCUGACUCGUCCUUCACCUUUUUAGGGGAGAUAUUGCCAGGUGAUGGAUUUUAUGUGUACACAUCCUGAAACCAGAGUGCUUUGUUCCAAUCUAGUUUUUCUGCUUUAUAAAUUACUUGACUUUAAAUAAUGUAUUGAAUCUUUCUUCAGUUUUUGAUCUUGUAUUGAAAUAAGGAUAAUGAUUAUAUCUACCUCAUUGGUAGCAUGUUGGAGUGAGAUAAGUUAGGACAUAGAGAUAGAUUUUAAAAAACUAUCUAGGACAUAGUAUGUGCUUAAUAAAUGUUAACAAUAAUGUA